CCUACGUGCGGCAGCAGUCGAGAAUCAUUCACAAUGGGGGAAACCCUGAUGGUGCGACGCCGCGUGGGGGAAUGAAGGUCUUCGGAGUGUAAACCCCUGUCAUGUGGGAGCAAAUUAAAAAGAUAGUACCACAAGAGGAAGAGACGGCUAACUCUGUGCCAGCAGCCGCGGUAAUACAGAGGUCUCAAGCGUUGUUCGGAAUCACGGGGCGUAAAGCGUGCGUAGGCUGUUUCGUAAGUCGUGUGUGAAAGGCGCGGGCUCAACCCGCGGACGGCACAUGAUACUGCGAGACUAGAGUAAUGGAGGGGGAACCGGAAUUCUCGGUGUAGCAGUGAAAUGCGUAGAUAUCGAGAGGAACACUCGUGGCGAAGGCGGGUUCCUGGACAUUAACUGACGCUGAGGCACGAAGGCCAGGGGAGCGAAAGGGAUUAGAUACCCGAGUAGUC
rnacentral:rRNA from 1 species